rnacentral:rRNA from 1 species
UACGGAGGAUCCGAGCGUUAUCCGGAUUUAUUGGGUUUAAAGGGUGCGUAGGCGGCCUAUCAAGUCAGAGGUGAAAGACGGUAGCUCAACUAUCGCAGUGCCUUUGAAACUGGUGGGCUUGAAUGUACUUGAGGUGGGCGGAAUGUGACAAGUAGCGGUGAAAUGCAUAGAUAUGUCACAGAACCCCGACUGCGAAGGCAGCUCACUAAGGUAUGAUUGACGCUGAUGCACGAAAGCGUGGGGAUCAAACAGG